ACUAACAAGGAUUCCCCUAGUAACUGCGAGUGAAGCGGGAAAAGCUCAAAUUUAAAAUCUGGCGGUCUUUGGCCGUCCGAGUUGUAAUCUGGAGAAGCGUUUUCCGCGUCGGACCGUGUACAAGUCUCCUGGAACGGAGCGUCAUAGAGGGUGAGAAUCCCGUCUUUGACACGGACUGCCGAUGCUAUGUGAUGCGCUCUCAAAGAGUCGAGUUGUUUGGGAAUGCAGCUCAAAAUGGGUGGUAAAUUCCAUCUAAAGCUAAAUAUUGGCGAGAGACCGAUAGCGAACAAGUACCGUGAGGGAAAGAUGAAAAGAACUCUGGAAAGAGAGUUAAACAGUACGUGAAAUUGUUGAAAGGGAAACGCUUGAAGUCAGUCGCGUCUGCUGGGGAUCAACCUUGCUCUUUUGCUUGGUGUACUUCCUAGUUUGACGGGUCAGCAUCGGUUUUGAUUGCUGGAAAAAGGGUGGAGGAAUGUGGCAUCUUCGGGUGUGUUAUAGCCUCUGCUCUCAUACAGCGGUUGGGACCGAGGAACUCAGCACGCCUUUUUGGCCGGGGUUCGCCCACGUACGUGCUUAGGAUGCUGGCAUAAUGGCUUUAAGCGACCCGUCUUGAAACACGGACCAAGGAGUCUAACAUGCCCGCGAGUGUUUGGGUGGAAAACCCGGACGCGUAAUGAAAGUGAUAGUUGAGACCUCUGUCGUGGAGGGCAUCGACGCCCGGACCAGACCUUCUGUGACGGUUCCGCGGUAGAGCGUGUAUGUUGGGACCCGAAAGAUGGUGAACUAUGCCUGAAUAGGGUGAAGCCAGAGGAAACUCUGGUGGAGGCUCGUAGCGAUUCUGACGUGCAAAUCGAUCGUCAAAUUUGGGUAUAGGG
rnacentral:rRNA from 1 species